AUCAAUCAUGAUUUACAAUGUCUAAGUGAUUUUAUUCAAUUAAAAGCAAAAACUUUCAACAACGGAUCUCUUGGUUCUGGCAUCGAUGAAGAACGCAGCGAAAUGCGAUAAGUAAUGCGAAUUGCAGAAUUCCAGUGAGUCAUCGAAUCUUUGAACGC
rnacentral:rRNA from 1 species